UACGUAGGAUGCAAGGCGUUGUCCGGAAUUAUUGGGCGUAAAGAGCGCGCAGGCGGUAUGACAAGUCAGAUGUGAAAGAGGCCGGCUUAACCGGCAAGGGUCAUUGAAACUGUCAGACUAGAGUGCAGCAGAGGAUAGUGGAAUUCCCGGUGUAGUGGUGAAAUGCGUAGAUAUCGGGGAGGAACACCAGUGGCGAAGGCGACUAUCUGGGCUGCAACUGACGCUGAGGCGCGAAGGCUAGGGUAGCAAACAGG
rnacentral:rRNA from 1 species